rnacentral:lncRNA from 13 species
CUCAUAAUCUUUCCUUUUUAAACAAGUUUAUUAAAUAUUGAAAAUGCUGUCUCGAGUGUGACUUCUAUAAACUCAACUUGGCACAAUAAAUUUGACAUCACACUGGAUGAAGAAAUUCCAAUUGGGAAGAGGAUUGGAGUAUGCCAGGCAGCAGAUGAUGAUAACCUGGGGGAUUUAACCUUUGAACUUGAUCCAAGGAAUGAUUACUUUGCAGUUGACAAAGGUUGCUAAAAAGCUGGACUAUGAAGACCCAGAGAUAAUUGCAGCUGGACAUACCUAUGAAAUGAUGAUUUCAGUAUUUGAUGACCUACGUCCUUCCCAUACAGAUUUGAGCCUUUCCCCAAUACUGAAGAGGAAAGACAUUUCUCACAAUGUCUGGAAGAGGAAAGACACUGAAGAGGAAAGACAUUUCUCACAAUACAAUGAAUGUCACAGAUUCCCUGAAGUAAAGGUUCUAUGAAGCCCAGAUUAAAUUUUUUUGUUUGACACACAUGGCAUGGAUUUUCAGCAGAGGCAAUAACCGCAUUCUUCGGAACACGAAUUCUACAAGAUAAUCCACUAAGGAAGAAUUCUGUGGUCAAAUAAGUUAGGGAAGCAAGGCAUACCUAGACGUUUAUAAUACCUAAUGACGUAUUAGAAACCCGAAGAAGUCUUGCCAGAAAGAAAUUUUUUACUGCUUAAUUAGGAUUCUACAUUUGACACAUUAGCAUCUCCAUGAAGAUAUUUGGGGAGAUGCUGGUGGACAUAGCUUGGUUUAAUACUCAUUCAGUGACUUACAAGUUUUGUGAUAUUUGUCUAAGAACUUAACUCUGUGAACCUCAGUUUUCUUGCCUGCGAAAUGGGGACAAUAAUACCAAUGGCAAGUCAGCACCUUUUGCAGUAAAUGUUAGUUAUUAUUUUACCUCUGUUAAAAAUGUUCCCUGUUUGCAAGUUUCUUGCUUUUAUGUUGGGACAUCAAAUUCUUUCUUUUUGACAACUUUGUUAUGAUAGUUACAGGGUAUUUUUGAUAACACACAAUAUACAAACAUUUGGCUGAGGUGAAUAAAAUUUAAUAACUGCUUUUUACUUAACCUUUU